rnacentral:lncRNA from 1 species
AUAGGGAGUGAUCUUCACCCAGAUAUUAUUUAACAGAUUUAUUAAAAAUCUCAAAGGCAGAGACCUGAUAAACUUAUUUCUUUUCAGACUGGUGCUCUAAGAAGAUUUGUGCAAACCUUGAGAAGGAGAUACUAAAAAUGUAUCAAGAGAGUCCAAGAUGCAAACAAGAAUCACAGAAUCACAGAAUUUCUAGGUCAAAAGCAAAAAGGAUAUAACAUGGAAUAAAGAUCCAUAAUGUGUCUGAGGCUGGAAAAGCAGGCCUGCAGGAUUGUUACUGUAUGCCAAAUGAAUAUCCUGUAGUCUUGACCUCCAUGUGGAAUAUUUCUGUGAAAAUACGAAAAAAUUUCCAGCUAGUAAAUAGAUUCUUUCCUAUUAAUAUUGGAGGUGUCUGAAAGAGAAAUUUGUGUGCACCCAGGACUGGCUGUCCUCAGUUGCUCAGAACGAAAGUUCAUCCUGUGCCAGUGUGAUAUCCUAAAGCAAGGCAAGAUGCUGUGCUCUGUACAAAGGAAGAGGGUAGUGUUGGCCUUUCUUCCAUUUGGCGGCUCAUGCAUCAAAAGAAGAUUUCUUAGCCUGCUUCAGGCAUUCUCCAUAUAACCCCUGCCCUUUCUGAGACAUCACAGAAUGAGUGCUCAGGUCUUGCUCCUCUCCUGAUGUUGGGUGAGCUCUAUUAGAGAGAUCUGAAGGUGUGUUCAGUAAUAGAUCAUCCAGGAAACAAAAAUACUCCUCUGUUUCAGCCAGAGUGGCACAACAUGAGAGGCUCAGUACAGGAGGCUGCAGCUGCUACUGGGAGGAAGAGGUUUUGCUGUUGCAGGACACAGAGAAGUUGGUGGGGUGACACUGGUGGGCAUUGGUGCCCUUUGU